AUUGAACGCUGGCGGCAGGCCUAACACAUGCAAGUCGAGCGGAUGAAGGGAGCUUGCUCCUGGAUUCAGCGGCGGACGGGUGAGUAAUGCCUAGGAAUCUGCCUGGUAGUGGGGGAUAACGUCCGGAAACGGGCGCUAAUACCGCAUACGUCCUGAGGGAGAAAGUGGGGGAUCUUCGGACCUCACGCUAUCAGAUGAGCCUAGGUCGGAUUAGCUAGUUGGUGGGGUAAAGGCCUACCAAGGCGGCGAUCCGUAACUGGUCUGAGAGGAUGAUCAGUCACACUGGAACGUAGACACGGACCAGACUCCUACGGGAGGCAGCAGUGGGGAAUAUUGGACAAUGGGCGAAAGCCUGAUCCAGCCAUGCCGCGUGUGUGAAGAAGGUCUUCGGAUUGUAAAGCACGUUAAGUUGGGAGGAAGGGCAGUAAGUUAAUACCUUGCUGUUUUGACGUUACCAACAGAAUAAGCACCGGCUAACUUCGUG
rnacentral:rRNA from 1 species